CGGGGAUCAGCAUGUUUUUCCUCCUCCAGGAGACAUUCCUCCGCGGAUCAGACCAUGCUCCUUCCACAUUGAAAGCCUGUGCUCACACUUUGAAUAUGUUGACUGAAAGACCUUCAUGAGCCGGACACGCUCCUUGGUGUUACACUUGCAGGAGUUGCCGAUGGAGGCCUGCAGUACUCUCGGAGUUGUUGGCAGCUUUAAAGACCAAUAUCCCUGAUGCACAUUGAUGCAAAAAUCCUCAAUAUAAUAGUGGCAAGCCGAAUCCAGCAGCACAGCAAAAAGCUUAUCCACCAUGAUCAAGUGGGCUUCAUCCCUGGGAUGCAAGGCUGGUUCAACAUGAAAAUAAAUAAACGUAAUCCAGCAUAUAAACAGAACCAAAGACAAAAACCACAUGAUUAUCUCAAUAAAUG
rnacentral:lncRNA from 1 species